ACGGGAGAAGCAUUGUUAAGGAACUCGGCAAAAUGACUCCGUAACUUCGGGAGAAGGAGUGCCAGUAAGAUGGCCGCAGAGAAUUGGCCCAAGCAACUGUUUAGCAAAAACACAGGUCUAUGCAAAACCGAAAGGUGAGGUAUAUGGGCUGACGCCUGCCCGGUGCUGGAAGGUUAAGGGGAGAGGUUAGCCGUAAGGCGAAGCUUUGAACUUAAGCCCCAGUAAACGGCGGCCGUAACUAUAACGGUCCUAAGGUAGCGAAAUUCCUUGUCGGGUAAGUUCCGACCCGCACGAAAGGCGUAAUGAUUUGGGCACUGUCUCAACAAUGCACCCG
rnacentral:ncRNA from 1 species